CGCCCCCUCCCUUCCCCCAGGAAACUAGCGGAUAAGGCGCUCGCUAUUGGUGCAUCAUGCUGCAUUGUUUAUCAACAGCUCCCCGGCGAGCUGCUACUUGAGCGCUGUAGUGAGCGGCUGCUGUGUCAGUGAGUGGAACUGAGGUAGAAUGUCGGACCUUGCGCAGGACAGCAUGUCUGGGACUCUAGACUGGAAACAAAUGGGCUAUGCAUCCUGGUCCCUGCUGGGUGACUGCGCGUCUGUGUCGGCUUUGCUGCUAUACAUUGCAUUGUUUCUGGGACUGUACUUGCUUAUGGGCUCGCUGUGGCGUUACUAUCAGAUCAUUCAUAGCAACGCACCUCCUGGCCCUACACCCUGGCCCAUUGUAGGGAAUUUUGCCUUCAUGCUGAUGCCUGGGUGGCUAAUGCAGCUGCUGAAUUUUGGGAUAGCCAAAGGGAAGCUGCGGAGGGUGCCAGCUGGGGCCACCAGAAGGGGUGCUUUCCUGUACCCGCACAUUGUGCUGACUGAAAUGGCUAAAAUGUAUGGGAAGAUCUAUGGACUCUACAUUGGCACCCGUCUUAUGGUCAUCUUGAAUGACUUCAACUCUGUGAAGGAUGCACUUGUCAGUCAUUCAGAGGUGUUUUCUGACCGCCCCAGUGUAUCAUUGGUCACCAUCAUUACCAAGAGAAAAGGUAUUGUAUUUGCACCUUAUGGACCCAUUUGGAGGCAGCAAAGAAGAUUUUCUCAUUCUACCCUCAGACAUUUUGGACUCGGCAAACUCAGCCUUGAGCCCAAGAUAAUAGAAGAAUUUAAAUAUGUGAAAGCUGAAAUGCUUAAAUUCGGAAACAAAGGGUUUAGCCCUUUUGAGAUCAUUAAUAAUGCAGUUUCCAAUGUUAUUUGUUCCAUAAGUUUUGGCAAACGCUUCAAUUAUGAAGACAAAGAGUUUAAGACUAUGCUGAGUCUGAUGUCUCGUGGGCUUGAAAUCAGUGUAAACAGUGAGGCCGUCCUGAUCUGUUUGUGUUCCUGGCUGUAUUACCUGCCCUUUGGACCUUUUAAGGAACUGCGUCAAAUUGUGAUUGAUAUUACUGCUUUUCUUAAGAGAAUCAUUGCCGAGCACCAGGUCACUUUAGAUCCGGCUAACCCCAGAGAUUUUAUUGACAUGUACCUUCUUCAUAUAAAAGAGGAGCAAAAAGGGCAGGCAGAGAGUAUUUUCAACACAGAAUAUCUCUUUUAUAUCAUUGGUGAUCUCUUUAUAGCAGGCACAGACACAACCACCAACACUCUACUAUGGUCUCUUUUGUAUAUGUGCCUUUAUCCAGAUGUGCAGGAGAAAGUCCAGGCUGAGAUUGAUACAGUCAUUGGCCGGGAUAGGCCUCCGUCACUUACAGACAAGUCUCAGAUGCCCUUUACAGAAGCUACUAUUAUGGAGGUUCAAAGAAUGACUGUAGUCGUCCCUCUUUCUGUACCACAUAUGGCUUCAGAAUCUUCAGUUUUCCAUGGAUAUACAAUACCAAAAGGCAGUGUGGUAAUGGCCAAUCUCUGGUCUGUGCACAGAGACCCAAAAGUUUGGGAGAAGCCUAAUGAUUUCAUGCCCAAGAGGUUUCUAGAUGAGAAUGGGCAAAUCCUCAAAAAAGAAGCAUUUAUUCCUUUCGGAAUAGGUCGGCGAGUCUGCAUGGGGGAGCAGUUGGCUAAGAUGGAACUGUUCCUGAUGUUUGUUAACCUGCUACAGUCUUUUAGCUUUUCCUUGGCUGAUGACACAUUCAAGCCAUCACUUGAAGGGCGAUUUGGUCUCACUCUUGCACCCUAUCCAUUUGACAUCAAGAUCACAAAACGAUAGAGCUUAUAAUGUAAUAUCACCUUUCCCAAAAGUCUGCUCUGAAUAAAUGGCAGAAAACAAGGCAUGCAUCUUGCAUUGCACUGGGGUGUAAUUUGUUCUGUGUAUAAGUCUAGAAACUACCCUGAAGUAAGUUUAAUCUGUGGUCAUGUUAAAUAAUGAUAAUCAGUGGUAAUUUGUUGAACUUGAAAAAUACAUUUCUAUAUCUAAUAUGCAACACAUAGUAAUGCACAGCUAUAUCCAAAUAUAGAUAACCACAGAUAUGGGGUUGCACUCAGGGAUUGACACGCACAAUGAAGUGAUAAGCAGUGUUUAGAACACAUAUAGGAGAAAGAUAAUCAUUAACAUGAAUAUAAUACCCUUAACACACCAAAAAGUAUUUGACUCCUGUUAGAUACAGAGUGCUGGUUGAAUUUUCCUAAGGGCAUACUGGCUCUAUGCUACUUACUAUGGGCAACAGCUUUUUCUCAGUUACAUUACCCUAGUUUAAAGUUUUAGGUUUCUUUAGCAGUGUGCUCUUGUAAGCACUACACAUAGUACAUAUAAAAUCCCAAAGCUGCAAAUAGUUCCUAAUGCUAACAACAAUGCAAACAUUUCUAUAGAAGAAUGUUCUACAUUAAUUACAUUUCCCUGUCUGUGUUUUCAGGGAUGGUUUGGUUGAUAAUGCUAACUAUGGUUUCCUACCUGUAAAUGUACUCAUUCUAAUUUUUAUUAUAAAAUAUAUUUUAAUUUGGUAACUUUGGAUGUUAAUAAUAUCAAAGUAUUUUUAUAUAGACUGCACAAAAUAUGUAAUUUGUAUUGCAUCAGAUGGUGAUCAGAUUGUCUGGCUGAUGUGGUGCUCUUCUAAAGAUGUUUUAAAAAAUGCCUGAUCAAUAUGUGGCUGAAGGCUGGCAGGCAGUUGCAUUUCCUCCACGCAUGUUGUAUCAGGUUGUGUUUUUUUUGUUAACUGUCUCUUCAUUACAAUUAAUCUCUUUAAGGACUCUGUUCUCUAGUGUAUAUAUUAUUAGUCCAAGAUCUAGAAUGUAAAGAGCAAUCAGUUUUCUUGUGAUUGUAUGAGACCCAGAACUUUGUUUAUUUUGUGCAAAAACACAGUAUGUUCUGAAAUGUUAAUGUUUGUUUUGUUUUUAUUAAAAAAAAUCUUAUAGCCUGA